GAGGGUUUAGUUAAUUCAUAACAUUAGAUUGUCAAACUAAAAUUAUCAAAAGAUAUCCCUUU
rnacentral:tRNA from 1 species